UACGUAGGUGGCAAGCGUUGUCCGGAUUUACUGGGCGUAAAGAGCGCGCAGGCGGUCGUGCAAGUCGCGUGUGAAAGCCCCCGGCUCAACUGGGGAGGGUCACGCGAUACUGCUCGACUUGAAGGCAGGAGAGGGAAGUGGAAUUUCUGGUGUAGAGGUGAAAUUCGUAGAUAUCAGGAGGAACACCAGUGGCGAAGGCGGCUUCCUGGACACCAACUGACGCUGAGACGCGAAAGCGUGGGGAGCAAACAGG
rnacentral:rRNA from 1 species